rnacentral:rRNA from 1 species
UGGGGAAUAUUGCACAAUGGACGGAAGUCUGAUGCAGCAACGCCGCGUGCGGGAUGACGGCCUUCGGGUUGUAAACCGCUUUUUCUCAUGACGAAGUUUUUUGACGGUAGUGGGGGAAGAAGCACCGGCUAACUACGUGCCAGCAGCCGCGGUGAUACGUAGGGUGCGAGCGUUGUCCGGAAUUAUUGGGCGUAAAGAGCUUGUAGGCGGUUUGUCGCGUCGAUAGUGCAAACUCAGUGCUUAACGCUGAGCCUGCUGUUGAUACGGGCAGACUCGAGGAAGGUAGGGGAGAAUGGAAUUCCCGGUGGAGCGGUGGACUGCGCAGAUAUCGGGAGGCACACCGGUGGCGAAGGCGGUUCUCUGGGCCUUUCCUGACGCUGAGAAGCGAAAGCGUGGGGAGCGAACAGG